UACGUAGGGGGCAAGCGUUGUCCGGAUUUAUUGGGCGUAAAGCGCGUGUAGGCGGCCAGAUAGGUCUGCUGUGAAAACUCGAGGCUCAACCUCGAGCUGUCGGCGGAAACCAUCUGGCUAGAGUCCGGAAGAGGAGAGUGGAAUUCCUGGUGUAGCGGUGAAAUGCGCAGAUAUCAGGAAGAACACCAAUUGCGAAGGCAGCUCGCUGGGACGUUACUGACGCUGAGACGCGAAAGCGUGGGGAGCAAACAGG
rnacentral:rRNA from 1 species